GAUGAACGCUAGCGACAGGCUUAACACAUGCAAGUCGAGGGGCAGCAUAAAAGUAGCAAUACUUUGGUGGCGACCGGCGCACGGGUGAGUAACGCGUAUGCAACCUACCUAUCAGAGGGGAAUAACCCGGCGAAAGUCGGACUAAUACCGCAUAAAACAGGGACACCGCAUGGUGAUAUUUGUUAAAGAAAUUCGCUGAUAGAUGGGCAUGCGUUCCAUUAGGUAGUUGGUGAGGUAACGGCUCACCAAGCCGACGAUGGAUAGGGGAACUGAGAGGUUGGUCCCACACACUGGUACUGAGACACGGACCAGACGCCUACGGGAGGCAGCAGUGGGGAAUAUUGGUCAAUGGGCGAGAGCCUGAACCAGCCAAGUCGCGUGAAGGAAGAAGGAUCUAUGGUUCGUAAACUUCUUUUGCAGGGGAAUAAAGUGCAGGACGUGUCCUGUUUUGUAUGUACCCUGAGAAUAAGGAUCGGCUAACUCCGUGCCAGCCGCCGCAGUAAGAC
rnacentral:rRNA from 1 species